AUCACGGGUGACGCGGUGAACGUA
rnacentral:siRNA from 1 species